rnacentral:rRNA from 1 species
GACGAACGCUGGCGGCGUGCUUAACACAUGCAAGUCGAACGGUAAGGCCCUUCGGGGUACGCGAGUGGCGAACGGGUGAGUAACACGUGGGUGAUCUGCCCUGCACUUCGGGAUAAGCCUGGGAAACUGGGUCUAAUACCGGAUAGGACACUGCCUGCAUGGGUGGUGGUGGAAAGCUUUUGCGGUGUGGGAUGGGCCCGCGGCCUAUCAGCUUGUUGGUGGGGUGGUGGCCUACCAAGGCGACGACGGGUAGCCGGCCUGAGAGGGUGACCGGCCACACUGGGACUGAGCUACGGCCCAGACUCCUACGGGAGGCAGCAGUGGGGAAUAUUGCACAAUGGGCGCAAGCCUGAUGCAGCGACGCCGCGUGAGGGAUGACGGCCUUCGGGUUGUAAACCUCUUUCAGCACCGACGAAGCGCAAGUGACGGUAGGUGCAGAAGAAGGACCGGCCAACUACGUGCCAGCCGCCGCCGUAAUAC